rnacentral:rRNA from 1 species
AUGUGAAUUGCAAUUCAGUGAAUCAUCGAGUCUUUGAACGCACAUUGCGCCCCCUGGUAUUCCGGGGGGCAUGCCUGUCCGAGCGUCAUUGCUGCCCUCAAGCACGGCUUGUGUGUUGGGCCCCGUCCUCCGAUCCCGGGGGACGGGCCCGAAAGGCAGCGGCGGCACCGCGUCCGGUCCUCGAGCGUAUGGGGCUUUGUCACCCGCUCUGUAGGCCCGGCCGGCGCUUGCCGAUCAACCCAAAUUUUUAUCCAGGUUGACCUCGGAUCAGGUAGGGAUACUCGCUGAACUUAAGCAUAUCAAUAAGCGGAGGAAA